rnacentral:lncRNA from 1 species
AGUACAACGCUGUGUUGGUCGUCGUCUUGUGCGGCGUUUGAUUUCACGUCUUGUCGCGGCGUUCGUUUAGUUUCUAUUGAAAGAUUGACAUCGGUCAAUUAUAAAUCCAAUCAAUGAUUUGGGUGUGAAUGUUGCCGAUCUAGAAACAUGAGUAUUUCGGUGACUUAGAUUUAAUCAUAUUAGUUGUAGCAUUUUGUCAUUUUAUGUUAUUAACUUGGGUGCUGUGAGUUUGUUCGCAGUUUUACCCUUUACGUUUCUAGCGAUUUUUGUAUCUGAUGUACUCUAUCAAUCUGAAUGAAUGAAUAUCGUUUUGUUUUUAUUAAAAAAAAAAAAUAAAAAAAAAACUAACGGUUAAAAGUUUGCUCUACAUGCCUACAAUGAUAAUAAAUAGAGAUAAUUUACUACAACUUUUAAAACAAUGAUGCUCAUUUAUAGGAACUUUACCAUAAAUAAGUCUCCAAAGAAAAAAUGAUUUGGAUUGAGGAAUUGAAGGUUUCCAAAUAAGCUAUGUCCAUGAUUGAUCAUAUGCAGAAACUUGACAAAAACUAUCAGCAUCCUAAACUGAAAGAGAACCUGAUGAAGAACCCUUCUAAGCAAGAUAUUCAGUGGAAAACUAUACCCCGAUAUUUAUCAAAUUUCAUAUUUCACCAAUUCAACUCUCUCUAUCAAUAGUAUAUAUAUAAAGUAAGAUUUUUUAUGACACGUGUCACUUCCACGUUUAUUCGCAAUAUUUUUAUUUUUUUUCUAAUUUUUCAAAACCAAUAUUUAAUUUGGCAUAAAUAUCUCAACAAACUUUUGAUCUUAUCUAUUAAAUAUUUUACUUAACUAUUUAUUGAAUUCCUAAUAUUUUAUGUAAUAGAAAUAUCUCAACAAAAUUACAUACGAUACCCUUCAAUUAAAAAUCAUCAAUCAAUCAAUAGUAUAUAUAGUAAGGUUUCUUAUGCCACGUGUCACUUUCAUGUUUAUUCGCAAUAUUUUUAUUAUUUUUAUAUUUUUUAAAAUCAAUAUUUAAUUUUGUAAAAAAAAAAUCAAUAUUUAAUUUGGCAUAAAUAUUUCAACAAAAUUUUAACCUUAGGGAUGGCAAUGGGUACCCUAUCCCAAUGGAUAGGGUACUAUAGUACCCUAUCCAUUGGGUACUCAUUGCCAUAAAUGUAUUGGUCUAUUCUCCACUAUCAUAAAUAUAAAGUGAAAUAUAUUGAAUUGGAAAUGAUGAAAGUAGUAUUAAUUAGAGUUAUAAUUGAAAAAAAAAGUAAUUAAUAAUUGUAUUGAAAAGUUAAAUGCAUCAAGAUUUUUGAGACAAUAUUUUUUACAAAUAACUUAGUUAUUAUGGGACGGAGGGAGUAACACUUUAACAUGACAAUGAAAAGUAAAUUUAAGAAUUAAAAUGCAAGAAAUGAAGAGAAUGUUUCUCUAACACAAAACUAUUUUUUUUUUCUCUUUCACUUAUACACUUUUUUAAUGUGUAAAAUAAAAAAUAAAAAAAACUUAUGUAUAAUGAGACGGAGGGAGUAGUUAGUAAGAACAAAGUCGUCAAGGAACCAAUUAACUCUUGAUUUCACUUCCCAAAAACGUCUUGAUAGUGCUAUACUCCCUCCGUCCCAAAUUAUAAGCAAAAAAACAAAAAUCACACUUAUUAAGAAAACUAAAACAUAAAAAUUUGGAGUAUAGUUUUUUGUGUUUUCGUUGGAAAAAGUUUUAUAGGAAGAUGUAAAAACAAUUUUCAUUGGCUAUUGAUUAUGGAAAAAAUGAAAGAAAGAGAAAAUUGAAUGUAAUUUGCAUUUAAUUUUAUGAGAAUAACAAAAAAAAAUCUUGGAAAAGAUUAAAAUUUGUCUUUUUUCCUUAUAUUUUGGGACAAAGAAAAUGAAUUUCUUUUGCUUAUAUUAUGGAACGGAGGGAGUACUUGGUUAAGCUGGAUUGAGCAUUCAAUUCUAAUUUAAGGGCCUUUAAUUUACCUUAAAGAAUAAACAUAGGACAACCAACCACAUAAUUAUUUAUACCAAACAUUUUCCACCACGUGGGUGAUAUCUGGAAGAUGAGAGUCCAUUUAAGUGAGUCAAUGUGACGAAAAAAAAGAUAAAAUGGCAAUUUUAGGAUCGUAAAUUUCUGAAAAUAAUGGAAGUAGUAAUUCUUUUAACGUUUUCAUUGUUUUAAAAAAAUUAUCCAAUCAUAUUUUAUAUGCAAUUUUUGUUUUUUAGAUUAAUUAAACAAUAAAUUUUGUUAACCAGUGUCCUAAGGGUGAUGAUUAAGGAAUUCAAAUGUAAAAGUUUUGUCUUGUAAUUGUAGGAUGUUACAUUUGAUCAAGUAAUGAUUAUACUACUUUUUAUUAAAAACUUACUUGAUUUAGUUGUUUAACCAGUGUGAACACUAGUUAACAUUCUCCUUAAAUAAUUGAUGUUUCUGAAAUAUAAUAUAUAUAUAUAUAUAUAUAUAGCUCAGAUACAUCACUUAUUUAAUGAAGAGUUUUUUUUUUUUCCUUCUCUUAAUUAACGAAUAAAACUAACACUUAUAUAUCUACCAAAAAAAAAAAAAAACUAACACUUAUAUAAUAUAGUUCGGAUACAAUAUAUUUAUAUAAUAUAAUCCGGAUACAUCACUUAUAUAAUCAACAUUGCUAUUUACCGCGACAAGUUUUGUCCCGAAUGCAUCAAGAAUGAAAAUAAGCCAAUUAAAAACAGCUGUUAGUGGAAAUCAUGGGAGGUGGGGGAGAAAAAGAUGGAAAUCAUAAACUAAUGGAUGGAUGGCAUACAUGCCACAUGUGUCUGGAAAAUCUCGGGACAGUUUUAUUUCGUGUGAAAUAGCAUUUUUCCUUAUAUAAUAUAGUCCAGGUACAAGGCAACUAUCACCGGAUGAGGUUUUAUCUUUUUAUUAAUGAAUAAAACUUUUUUUAAGAAGCUAAAUGCAAAAUAUAUUAAAAACCAAAUUAGUUAAGCACAAGAUGUGCCAAACGAAAAACUGUGUAUAACGUCAAAGUAACAAACUCGAUAAAGAAAGAAACCACAAAUAAUAAAAAUCAAAAGCGAAAUUCAGUUUAUGUGUCUUUAGCCACCACAAAAAAUGAAAUUUAAUAUUGUCGAGAAGUUGAUCCUUAGAAGACACGUUGUUAUUGAAAUUUCUCGAGUUUCUCUCCUUCCAAAUUCUCUCCUUCGAAAUAACUCAAAGACAUGUCAGCACACCACUUUAAAACAAGAGCUAAUGUCCUUCCUGAAAGCAUGCGCGCCAAAAAAUUGUUGUGCGUGACAACCAAUAUUUGAUGGAACGACGGUAGUUUUACCCUACCAGAUCAACAAACACCCUACCAGAUCAACAAACAGGGAAAAUAAAUAAAAAAUAUUUUUGCAAAGUAAUUAAACGGAUUCUAAUGUUUAAUAGGAACCGAUCGAGGACAACAUAGAAAUCAUGCUGGAAUUUGAAGAAGAAAUACAAACCUAAUUAAAGAGAGGGGCUAAGUAUUUCCAAGCUGGAACUUGAAAAAGAAAAACCAUGCUCUAAUUAAGUAACUAAGUAAGGUAGUACAUUACAACAAUUGAGAUAAGUACGACACAUUAUGAUGAUUAUGACUUAUGAGCUGUUAAAUGAUGUUGUAGGAUUACUUUUUUCUUGUCAAAAAUAAAUAAAUGAUGUUGUAGGAGAAACAUUAUUAUAAACAUUAUUAUAACUUACAAGGACUAAUGUUUAAAAAAAAAAACUUACAAGGACUAAUAAUGAGACAGAACGAAAGUGUACGUGAGUGUAGGAGACACGUUAUUAUAACAUUUUAUAAAUAUUUAAACGUUGAUAAUAAUUUUGUCGAUCUAUAAACCACUACCAAUUCCUAGUUAAAUAUAUAAUAAUUUUUAUUAUAUUUGUUAGUUGAUGGUAAAAGAUGAAUAUAAUUUGUUACUAUAUUUUUUUUUGACAAAAUAAUUUGUUGCUAUUUAAAAUUCAUAAAUAUAGUCUAUACAUAUAAUUUUAAUAAAAAUAAAAAUUCACCCAAAAAAAAAUCAAAAAUUUCAUAAAAAAAUAAAUAUUGUUUAUAAUUCACGAGCGUUGUCGCAGUACAAAAAUGGAUAGAUGGAUACCCAGUACUAGUAAUUAAUGAAGUUAAUUGGUAAAAUUUCACUCUUACUGGUGGUUGAUGGUAGGGGUGUUUACGGUGCGGUUUGGUUCGGUUUUGAGAGAAAAAGUCAUCCAAACCGCAAGAUAAAAAAACAUGCGGUUUGUGUAACACCCACAGCUGACGAGGGCAGGGGAGUGGUCACCGGUGCACAAGGCACGCCAAUGAGCGGCUCCCGACAGCUUCUAGAGGAACCGAAUCACAUCUGAAUGAGAGGGAUCCUGAGGCCGUGUAGGUGUGGGACUACAUGAAUGAAGGAAUGCUUAUAAGAAUUGUUUGGUAAUACCUAUAUCAACAAGGUGCAUCUUCUUUUUGGUACCCUAUUCCAUAAGAACUCCACAGUUAAGCGUGCUUGACUUGGAGUAGUCUUUGGAUGGGUGACCUACCGGGAUUCCCGAUAAGCAUGCGAGUGAGGACAAAACACGCUGAAAAGACUCGUGUUGGUUUGUAGGGUCAGUCGACAAUGCUUAAAGUCGUCUGGGAUGUUACAGUUUGGUUUGGUUCGGUUGGCUUUAAAAUAAAAUCCGAACCAAACCAAACCAAUAUGGUUUGGGUUGUAUCGGUUGGUGCGGUUUUUUUCGUGACGAUACGAUUUUUUGUUUCCAACAUUAAAAUCAAGAUAAAAAGCUGAAACACAAUAUAUUUUCAACAAUGUUUUAAAUUUCAUCAAACAUUACAAUUUCAUUUUCAUUACAAUGUUUCCAACAACAUAAACCAAAUUAAAAACGCGGACAAAAAGUAAUCUUAUUUUGUAAGAAAUGCAAAAGACUGAGAUGUUCUCAUUCUCUAAAAGUUAAGUAGCACAUAAAUACAUUUUUAAAUAAAAAGCAAAUAAUGAACUUAACAAGAGAAAAAAAAUAUGACAUUUUAUAAAAGUUUUCAUUGAGUUUCUAUGAGUAUUGGUCUUGAUGACAUAUGUUUAAUUAACAUUUUUCUUAUGUUAUGGUUUGGUUUGGUUUUGUAUCUAUUUGACAGUCUCUUUGUACUUUGAGCGACCUCUUUAGUACGCCUUAUGCUAAAGAGGUGUCUCUCUUAUUGUGAAUAUAUAUCAUUUUACCUUCUUAAAAAAAAGUUAAUUGGUAAAAAAAAAAAAAAUUUCUCUCUUGAUUUAUAUGAAAUGACAUUUUUUUUUGGAACAUGGAGGGUAUUGAUUUUUACACCUUUUCAAAAGCCACUCAAGGAUGAAUAUAGAUUUUUCAUGCAUCAAACACAAGAAUCAUUAGCAUAACAUGCUUUGGAAAACACACACAUAUACUUAAAUUAAUGGUUGGAGUAUCAAAUUUAAAAAUAUUGUUGUCAAUACAUACCCCGUCAAUCCUCCUUUUUUACCCAAUAAACAUUGAAAUGUUGCUUCUUUCGUUAAGCAUAAAAACAUCAAAGUCUAGCAAAAUGUUGUUUUUGCGAUGACACAUUUCAUAUAGUUUAAAGGAUGCAUGAUUCGAUUACAAAAACAAAAUACUAAUAAUUCUAGCACAAAGUUUAAAGCUAAGAUUAUAAAGCUUCAUAGCAUGUGGAUAUUCAUUUAGAAAUAUAGGAUUAGGAUUGCCCCUUUCAUCACGGGUCUAAUAGCACCACUUGUCACUACAUGUUAAAAAUGUCCUCUAGUACAACACCGCUUUUUACUUGAUUCCCCUUGUCCAUGAAAAAAUCAAACAAUAUUUGGACACAAAAAUUUGCCCCCACUUUCCUUUUUCUUCUGCCCUAGUUUGUUUGAAAACUCAUAUUGAUCAAAUUUGGCUAUGAAUUCAAACAAAAAAUUCACUCUGCCCAUUGCAUGUGUGGGACCCACAUAUAAAUCCAUGAAGGAUUUCAAUGUCCAUCCAAGUCAAUGAUUCAACAUAUAACAUUGAAUAAUUUAAUUCCAAUUUGCAGUAUUAUGAUUUAGAUUGAUUGCUGCAAUACGGUCCGUGAAUGUAACUCACGAGAAAGAGGUAUCAAGGUAUUUUAUUUUAUUUUUAACAAAUAAAAUUUCAAGGUCUUGUUCACCAUAUAAACCUCCUCACUCUCACUCAAUUCUCUUAAGUGUAUGACUUCAUAGUAAACUACACUACUUUCUUUAAAACAUGGCUAACUAUGCUAUAGCCAAUGUUUUGAUCCUUCUCUUGAACUUGAGUACCUUACUCAAUGUUCUUGCUUGCCCUUAUUGUCCUUACCCAAGCCCUAAACCACCUUCACACCACCCUCCUAUUGUUAAGCCACCAGUUCACAAACCACCAAAGCAUUCUCCUACUCCUAAACCACCAGUUCAUAAACCACCAAGAUAUCCUCCUAAACCAUCACCUUGUCCACCCCCAUCAUCAACACCAAAACCACCUCAUCAUCCCAAACCCCCAGCAGUACACCCACCACAUGUUCCAAAACCACAUCCACCUUAUGUUCCAAAACCACCAAUUGUUAAACCUCCAAUAGUACAUCCACCUUACGUACCAAAACCCCCAGUUGUGAAACCACCACCAUAUGUCCCUAAACCACCUGUUGUGAGACCACCCUAUGUUCCUAAACCACCAGUUGUACCUGUAACACCACCUUAUGUUCCUAAGCCACCAAUUGUUUUCCCACCACAUGUUCCUCUACCUCCAGUUGUACCAUCACCACCACCUUAUGUACCAACACCUCCAAUUGUGAAACCACCAAUUGUUUUUCCACCACAUGUUCCUCUACCUCCAGUUGUGCCUGUAACACCACCUUAUGUGCAACCACCACCUAUUGUAACUCCACCAACACCAACACCUCCAAUUGUGACACCACCAACACCACCUAGUGAAACACCUUGUCCUCCACCACCACUUGUACCUUAUCCACCACCACCAGCACAACAAACAUGUUCCAUUGAUGCUUUGAAGUUGGGUGCAUGUGUUGAUGUGCUUGGUGGACUCAUACAUAUUGGUAUAGGUGGAAGUG